AUACCAUUAUACCGCAACUAUAUUAUACCACUAUUACCGCUAAAUUAUAUAAUAUUAUAGACUUGCAAUGCCUAUAUUAAUACCCGUACGUAUAGGGGUCGCCAAUUGUCCAGCGUUAUGCCUUUCAAUAGCAGGACGCCCAAAAUACAAUAUUAUACGUCCAGAUUAUUUUUAAACUUGUUUAGGCUCCCUCCAAAAUCCGUUCGAUUCGCCGAUACGAAACAUUUUAUGAUUUAUCUAAACGAACAGAACGAUAAAAACAAUAAUGUAGACAUUACGUUUUCAUAAUUUUUCUUUUUCGACAUUAUUAAAAUACUAAUAUUUAUUUUCAAUUUUGAUCACAGAAAUUUCAGAAUAUCUUAGAAAUGAUAUUAUUAUUAUGUACCUACCUAUACAUAUAAAUUGUACACGAGUAUUGUAUUCGGAUUUAUUUAUUACGAUUGUUUAUUAAAUUAUAUCGUUUAUUUAUGGAAAAAUCGUCGUUUCGCGUACAGUGUGUUUCUUUCGUAAAAGUUGGCAACCCUACUCGUAUAAUACUAAGCAACACAUUGCAAGCAUAAGUACCUACAUUACAUAUUAUAAUAAUAUUAUGAAAGUAUAUAUUAUGUAUAUUAUUAUAAAAUACAUGUUCUGUAUACGUGAUGGCUAAAAUAUCUUAUCACCAAAAAUGUCUGGUUUAGUCCCACCCCCCUCCCCCUCAAAAAAAAACCUAUUAUUUUACAUUCACUAUAUAUAUAUUGUAUGAGAAAAAAUCUAUACUUAUUACUUAUUAGGUACCUAAGUACUUUUGUAUUGAGCAUGACAGUAUGGACGGUAAAAAAUAAUACUAUGGCCUUUUACAAUAUUUUUGCAAAACGUGGAAAGAAAAUAUACUAAUUAAUAUAGGUAUGAAAUAAAACAUUGAGUUUAAUGAUGAAAUAUUCUUAGUGUUUGGAUCUUUUAUUUAUUGUUUUGUUACUAAGUAUUAAAUUUGUCCAACUCCUAUAUAUAUAUAUAUUCAUCCCAUAUAUUUAUAAUACCUAACAUGGUCGCAAUUAUGUUGCGGGGUAAGGGGGUCCAAGGAUACUAAACCCCUCGGGAUAUUCAUUCAAAAGUAGAAAAACGUAAGUAAUCGAAAUGAUAACAUAAUUAUUAUUUAAUAUAGAAGAAAGAAUAACGAAGUAAAAAGGUCAACGAUUUAGUUGGCGUACAAAUUUGAACCUCUCCCCCGAAAUUUGUUAGCCUUGCAUGUACUAUACUACACUACUACUACACUGUACAUCAAUUCAUUAUGUUGUCAUAAAAACAAUAUUGAUUCAAGUAAUGAAAUGUUGUCUAUUCUUCAGAAUAAUAUUCAACCAUCUAACAAUAAUAAUAAUACCACUAGUAAUCAAUAAUUGAUAUCAUACCUAUAGGAAUUAUUAAUAGUCAUCUAUGUAAUUUACGAUUUCGAAAAAUGAUCUUCGUUAUUAUAAUAAUAUACAAUUGCCUAAUAAUAAUUACCUAUAUAGUUUAAGA